GCUGUUGUCUCAAGAAAAGCCUCAUCCUCUGUGACAGGUGACGAGACCCCCGGAAGAAGCAGCCCCCCUUCCCAAUGGUGACGCAGAGGGAGAGGCAACAAACACCUCGGAGGGCCAGGGGAUGGAGCAGGUUGAAGGAAGUGGGGAGAACAAGGGGCAGACAGAGGAUGGUGGAGAGACCCACAGCCUCCAAGAGUCCCAUGACACGAAGACAGAAGAAGGGGCUGAGGAGGGUGCAGAAGGGGAGCCGGAAGCAGAAGAUGCAGAGGCUGGAGGAGAGGAGGGAGAGGACGCCUAGGCCUGGCGACCCAGCUCCAGUGUCCAGGUA